rnacentral:rRNA from 1 species
UACGUAGGGACCAAGCGUUGUUCGGAUUUACUGGGCGUAAAGGGCGCGUAGGCGGCGUGGUAAGUCACUUGUGAAAUCUCUGAGCUUAACUCAGAACGGCCAAGUGAUACUGCUGUGCUAGAGUGCAGAAGGGGCAAUCGGAAGUUCUUGGUGUAGCGGUGAAAUGCGCAGAUAUCAGGAGGAACACCGGUGGCGAAGGCGGGGUCUCUGGGGCCGAUACUGACGCUGAGGAGCGAAAGCGUGGGGGAGCGAACAGG